GGUCAAGCUACAAAGGGCGCAUGGUGAAUGCCUUGGCAUCAGGAGCCGAUGAAGGACGCGAUAAGCUGCGAUAAGCUUCGGGUAGACGCACAUAGUCAGAGAUCCGAAGAUUUCCGAAUGAGGAAACUCACAUGGGAAACCCCAUGUAUCAUAAAGUGAAUACAUAGCUUUAUGAAGGUAAACCCAGGGAACUGAAACAUCUAAGUACCUGGAGGAAGAGAAAGAAAAAUCGAUUUUCUUAGUAGCGGCGAGCGAAAAGGAAAGAGCCCAAACCAGAGAUUUAUCUCUGGGGUUGCGGACAGAACAUAACGAGAAGUCAUAGUUAACCGAACACAACUGGAAAGUUGGACCGCAGGGGGUAAUAGUCCCGUAAGUGAAAAUUAUGAUAAUCAGUUCUGCACCAGAGUACCACGAGACACGUGAAACCUUGUGGGAAGCAGGGAGGACCACCUCCCAAGGCUAAAUACUACCUGAUGACCGAUAGUGAAGCAGUACCGUGAGGGAAAGGUGAAAAGAACCCCGGGAGGGGAGUGAAAUAGAACCUGAAACCAUGUGCCUACAACCGAUCAAAGCACCUUAUGUGUGUGAUGAUGUGCUUUUUGUAGAACGAGCCAACGAGUUACGGUAUGUAGCGAGGUUAAGUGCUUAAGGUACGGAGCCGAAGGGAAACCGAGUCUUAAUAGGGCGACUAGUUGCAUGCUGUAGACCCGAAACCGGGUGACCUAUCCAUGGCCAGGUUGAAGCGAGGGUAAAACCUCGUGGAGGACCGAACCACGUUGCUGUUGAAAAAGCAUGGGAUGAGCUGUGGAUAGCGGAGAAAUUCCAAUCGAACUCGGAUAUAGCUGGUUCUCCUCGAAAUAGCUUUAGGGCUAGCGUCGGAAAAUGUGAGUAGUGGAGGUAGAGCACUGAAUAGGCUAGGGGGCAUAGCGCUUACCGAACCUUAUCAAACUCCGAAUGCCAUAUACUAUCAGUC
rnacentral:rRNA from 1 species